AUGCACACAAAUAAUGAGCGAUCUGAGAGAUACGAGGAAUGGUUACAGUACAGGAACAUGCAUUUACUAGAGGCAAGCAGAAACUAUGCUGACCAUAUCGAAGCUGACAGUCAGGAUCAAAUGUGCAGAAGUAAUGGAGACAUGCCCCUGACCAGUAAUCCACUGCAUGAAACUGCUGACGGUGAUCUUGUCUUGUUCUGCAUUUCCUUUAGUGCAGUUUGUUUUAUCACCUGUUUGCUGUCAUCUUCAACCCUGCUCUCCUUACUGCUGCUCCCUUCUUCUGCAGAAAACACACACAUCUAUGUCUGCAACCUUACUUGUGUUAACAGUCUCUGAACUUGGACUGACAAUACCUCACAUUUUUAAAGUGCCCCUAAUAUACUGUUUUACAAUUGUUUUAGAGGUUUCCUACAACAAGUUUAUAUUCAAAAGUGUGAAAUGAUCCAAAUCUUCAGUCUUUUCCACAAGCCCUCUCUGCUCUGACUGGUCAGACGCCCGGUCCGUUGUUGAACUGAUGUAAUUUAAGUAUUAAGAGUAAGAGUAAUGAAGUUCCCUUCAUCUUCAAGGCUUUGAAUGAAGUCCUGCAAGUAGUUCACAAUCCGUGAUUCUCUCUGCGCUUCACUGAACCCACCGCACUUAAAACAGUGACAGGGACAUCAGAUAUUUCAUUAUUUCUCAUGACAAUGGAAAACCUGUAAAAAGCUGCAGACGAGAGUCUACGAAUGAGUAUAAUGUCCCAAAAACAUCUAACCCUGAUGUGUGGAUUGAAGAGAAAGGAGGAGAGUCAGAUGGACAGAAUCACAGAUACUACACCUGACAAUGUCUUCCUUUCAUCACAUGUUAGGAUCCUGUGUACCACAUGCUACGAUUCUUUCAGAAAGCUCAAGCAAGGCUGUAGUGUCUGCAGUCUCAAUCUAAAGAAAUAAAAACCAGGAGUAACACACACAUACACUACACAGAUGUAUAUACAAAUCUGAAUUGAGUUGAAUUAGAAAACCUUGUCAAUCAGAUCUAGCAGGUCUGCAUCUGUUAUGUCAGCUCAUCUUUAUUAAUCUCCCGGAAGAAAUGAAAUUGUAAAUCCACUCCAUGAAAAAGGUCCGUCCUGAGUAAUGCUCACUGCCAUUAUUUCACCAACUAUCCUAAAGUACAACAACAAUAUUAAUUAAACAUUACAAUGAAUGUAAUAUGGUGUAUUUAUUUAUCAAAAUGCUCCUCUCCAGAAGUAAUUUUGUAGCUGAAUACCAAGUUGAUGGUCCCUGAAUAUGGAUUUGAUGAGAAACAUGACAUCUUGUUGACGAGCUGUUUGUGACGUCUCUGAAGUACGGCUGAAGCACUGAUUGAGCGAUUACAUGUGACAGGAUUCAUGUCAGUAAAUUGUCCUGUAUCUGUUUACAGACCCUUUGGCAUUCAUUCAUGUUUAUUUGGCGCUGUAGCCCGUAACUGGUGUUAAAAACAGAGGAAGACGUGAUCUUUCAAGUGUGCUGCAUGCUGUCGCUUCACUUGACCUGAGACACACUGCGUGAUCGUCACUGCAUUAGAUAGAGAGGACCACAGUCAGAUUUAUUGGUUACAUUUCAAGAUAAGAUGGACAGAAAUCAAAUCUGAGACUUUGUUUCUUAUCAAAAGUAACAAAACACAAAGCCUAUUGUGGUUUAAUGGAUGAGAGAUGUGCUAUAAUGUUAUGUUCAUUCAUCAGCUGUAAAGAGACGAUCCAUCCUUGGGAUUUACCAAUCAGUUUGUAAAGAUGAGAUCGGUUCGAUUAAAAUUGAGACAUCAAUAUUAUUUUACCCAGCUGUAAUGCUAAUAAACCUUCCUGAAAUUGUCAUUCUGAAAGUCUGUAAUUGAAAACUUCAGAUUUUUUCCAGUGCUCCCUCCCUCAAAUAAUCUAAUAUUACUUAAACAAAGAUUAAUAAAUUAGACUUAAUUGCAUCUCUUGUGCUUGUCUUGCUUUUGUCCCGUUAUGAUGAAAUCUUGGUUUGGUCUAUCGUCAGCUCUGAAAGAAAUUCAAUUUAGCUAAAUAAAAA
rnacentral:lncRNA from 1 species